rnacentral:rRNA from 1 species
UACGGAAGGCAGCAGUGGGGAAUAUUGCACAAUGGGCGAAAGCCUGAUGCAGCUAUGCCGCGUGUAUGAAGAAGGCCUUAGGGUUGUAAAGUACUUUCAUCGGGGAGGAAAAAACAAAACUAAUAAUUUUAUUUCUUGACGUUACCCGAAAAAGAAGCACCGGCUAACUCCGUGCCAGCAGCCGCGGUAAUACGGAGGGUGCUAGCGUUAAUCAGAAUUACUGGGCGUAAAGAGCACGUAGGUGGUUUUUUAAGUCAGAUGUGAAAUCCCUGGGCUUAACCUAGGAACUGCAUUUUGAAACUGAAAUACUAGAGUAUCGUAGAGGGAGGUAGAAUUCUAGGUGUAGCGGUGAAAUGCGUAGAUAUCUGGAGGAAUACCUGUGGCGAAAGCGGCCUCCUAAACGAAUACUGACACUGAGUGCGAAAGCGUGGGGAGCAAACAGGGAUUAGAUACC